ensembl:lncRNA
AAGAAAUUUGAAUUUGAAUGGUAACAAUUCCGUUAAAUCCUCGUCCUCGUUUUGAACGUCUCACUCAUGGCCGAUCAGUGUGUUCUUUUUGAUUAGCUCUUAAUUGAGAUCACCUGUCACGCACCCCUUUAUCAAAGGUGAACACAAUGCGUUUGGUUUACUUCUCGCAUCGGCCUGUGUCAAUCGAGGUUGAGUUUAGUGAGGGUUGAAAGUUUUCAAUCUAGAUUGCAGAUCACUAUUGUCACUUUAUACAAACUGAAAGUAUGCGUUGUUGCGUGUUUGUUUUUGUGGGCAUUUGACUGAACAGCCCAGACAAAUAUUGCUACCAACAUGGCACUUCGAAACAGACCACCGCAGUGUUAGAUGACUGACAAGAUCUAUGGGGGGGCCCCCUUUGGGCCCCCCCAUACCAACUUAGUCUUCAAAGGAAUCUAGUGCCAUGGGACUCCAGUGUCUUCAAAACAUCCUCGGAAUACAUGUGUAUGAAUGGUCCACCGAAGGGUUGAUCUGGAAGCCACCACGGUCCACAAAGUAAUCUGCUGCGUGGGCCGUAGUGUAUUCCAGAGCCAUCUUUCGGUCUUGGUCAGGAUUUGUUAGUUGCCCUUCAAUGUAGCAGGCUACGGGUUUCUGAAGAAGCCUGCUUUACUGGCUUACUUUAAGUCCACAAGGCCCUCUGGUAAACCACGUUGGAACACCCCUGGACAAGGGGGACUUGACUGGUGAGUCUACUGGAUUAAUCAGUAGCGGUACCUUGCCCAACAGAUUUGAUGGCAUGACUACAGGGUGACAAAGACAAUUAGUCCCUGCCUAUCAAAAGAGACUUCUAAAACAUAUCUGCUAGAACAGUUCCUAUACUUUUUGUAUAAUUUGGUCAUGCUGCAAAUUUACUUUUUGUAGUUGCUCCAUAUUUAGUUCUUUGACAGCCUCACCUGCUAGAAAAGUCUAUUCAAAUCGGCUAAAUAUAAUGAACUACAUUAAUAGCCAUGAAAUGUUGUCACUCAUACUAAUGGCAAAUAUCCCCUUUCAGUUGGUGGUUCAACACUGAUGUCUCUAGGCUUGAGGGAGAGCUCACAAGUAAAUUACACGAAUGUCCUGGAGCAAUUGGGAAUACACUUUUAUUUAGUCUACCUGACCAGGGACAUCUUUGAACUAUAGCCUCACCUGCUAGAAAACCUAACCCAAACUUUUCACUCUUGUUAGGUUGUCCUUUUCUCUUGUUUUAACCCGAAAGGGCUGAAAAUAUCAACAUUUCAGGUAUUCUGUUUGGAUAAUGUGCAAAACUUGUGGCUUCACUAAUAAAAAAAAUUAACGAAUGUAUUUUUCUUAAUGUGGUUACACUAUUUAAAGAUUUAUAUGCAAAAUAUUUCUGCUCAAUUUGUGGUCAAUGAAACUCAAUUUUUUUAAUUUGAUAAAACACAACUAUGGGUUAAAGGUAUUUGCUUUGGGCAUCUUUUGAUAUUUUUAGAAUCUAGCUCCAUUGCCGUUAGAAAUGGUGUCUCCCAGUACUGCAAAGUGCUUCCACAAUUUUAAAAAAGAAUGGGCAGAAAAGGAACUGCCAACUAUGAGAAAUGAACUGGUUAAUACAAUAAACAAG